rnacentral:misc_RNA from 1 species
UUUACUUUAUUGUUGAAUUAUUAUGGUAAUUGUGUGACGAAUGAAACUAGGAACAUUAUGAUUCUUCAAAUUAUAGAUGUCUGACUUAACAUUUCUGUUAUUUCAUUGCUGAUUCUAUUUGAUUCAGUUACUAAUAUACCUAACCUUCACUAGGUUUUGUGUUAGUUUAGUGAUAGGAUAAUUCUGAUGUUGCUAUAUAUGUUUAAGAGGCUGAUUUCAUUUUUCCAUGACUGCUGACCCAUAGAAAAGCUAUUACAAUUUACUUUUGUUAGAAGAGUAAGCAAUUGGUCUGGUGAUGGUCUUACUGACAAUUGAAAAGUAGCCAUAAUAGCUUGUGGUGUUAUUGCAGAAGCAUUUAGUUUGAACUUUGCUGGGAAUAAUUUCAUUUUAAAGUAACUGCCGUACAAGCUAAAGAUUGCCCAAUUAUUCUGCAAUGGAGCAGACUCUUGUUGGCUUUUAAUUUCAUAACAAGUUAUUAUCUUCUUACAAUGCAAUUGUCCUUUGCCCUAAGGGGCUGGCAACACUAGUGCUUCUUAGGGGUUGCUUAGCUUCAAGAGUCGAGACUGAGGAAAAGCUGUGAAAUCUUUUGUGAUAGGAAGUGUAAGGAGAUCACUAAGGGUCAAUGGUUG